rnacentral:rRNA from 1 species
AGAGUUUGAUCCUGGCUCAGGACGAACGCUGGCGGCGUGCCUAAUACAUGCAAGUUGAGCGCUGAAGGUUGGUACUUGUACCAACUGGAUGAGCAGCGAACGGGUGAGUAACGCGUGGGGAAUCUGCCUUUGAGCGGGGGACAACAUUUGGAAACGAAUGCUAAUACCGCAUAAAAACUUUAAACACAAGUUUUAAGUUUGAAAGAUGCAAUUGCAUCACUCAAAGAUGAUCCCGCGUUGUAUUAGCUAGUUGGUGAGGUAAAGGCUCACCAAGGCGAUGAUACAUAGCCGACCUGAGAGGGUGAUCGGCCACAUUGGGACUGAGACACGGCCCAAACUCCUACGGGAGGCAGCAGUAGGGAAUCUUCGGCAAUGGACGAAAGUCUGACCGAGCAACGCCGCGUGAGUGAAGAAGGUUUUCGGAUCGUAAAACUCUGUUGGUAGAGAAGAACGUUGGUGAGAGUGGAAAACUCAUCAAGUGACGGUAACUACCCAGAAAGGGACGGCUAACUACGUGCCAGCAGCCGCGGUAAUACGUAGGUCCCGAGCGUUGUCCGGAUUUAUUGGGCGUAAAGCGAGCGCAGGUGGUUUAUUAAGUCUGGUGUAAAAGGCAGUGGCUCAACCAUUGUAUGCAUUGGAAACUGGUAGACUUGAGCGCAGGAGAAGGAGAGUGGAAUUCCAUGGUGUAGGCGGUGAAAUGCGUAGAUAUAUGGAGGAACACCGGUGGCGAAAGCGGGCUCUCUGGCCUGUAACUGACACUGAGGCUCGAAAGCGUGGGGGAGCAAACAGGGAUUAGAUACCCUGGUAGUCCACGCCGUAAACGAUGAGUGCUAGAUGUAGGGAGCUAUAAGUUCUCUGUAUCGCAGCUAACGCAAUAAGCACUCCGCCUGGGGAGUACGACCGCAAGGUUGAAACUCAAAGGAAUUGACGGGGGCCUCGCCACAAGCGGUGGAGCAUGUGSUUWAAUUCGAAGCAACGCGAAGAACCUUACCARGUCUUUGACWUACCUCGUGCUAUUCCUAGAGAUAGGGAAGUUCYUUCGGRACACSGGAUACAGGUGGGUGGCCAUUGGUKGUCGUCAGCUCGUGUCGUGAGAUGUUGGGUUAAGUCCCGCAACGAGCGCAACCCCUAUUGUUAGUUGCCAUCAUCAAGUUGGGCACUCUAACGAGACUGCCGGUGAUAAACCGGAGGAAGGUGGGGAUGACGUCAAAUCAUCAUGCCCCUUAUGACCUGGCUACACACGUGCUACAAUGGAUGGUACAACGAGUCGCGAGACAGUGAUGUUUAGCUAAUCUCUUAAAACCAUUCUCAGUUCGGAUUGUAGGCUGCAACUCGCCUACAUGAAGUCGGAAUCGCUAGUAAUCGCGGAUCAGCACGCCGCGGUGAAUACGUUCCCGGGCCUUGUACACACCGCCCGUCACACCACGGGAGUUGGGAGUACCCGAAGUAGGUUGCCUAACCGCAAGGAGGGCGCUUCCUAAGGUAAGACCGAUGACUGGGGUGAAGUCGUAACAAGGUAGCCGU